UUACGGCCAUAUCGCAUUGAAACACCAGUAACCAUACGAUCACCGAAGUUAAGAAACGUCGAGCAUAGUUAGUACCUAGACGGGUGACCGCUUGGGAAUAUCAGGUGU